UCCCUGGUGGUCCAGUGGCUAAGACUCUGUGUCCCCAAUGCAGGGGACCUGGGUUUGAUCCCUGGUCAGGGAA
rnacentral:tRNA from 1 species